rnacentral:rRNA from 1 species
UGCCAGCAGCCGCGGUAAUACGGAGGGUGCAAGCGUUGUUCGGAAUCACUGGGCGUAAAGAGCACGUAGGCGGUAAGAUAAGUUAAGGGUUAAAUCCCCGAGCUCAACUCGGGAAAGUCUCUUAAAACUGUUUUACUGGAGUAUAUCAGAGGCAGGCAGAAUUCCAGGUGUAGAGGUGAAAUUCGUAGAUAUCUGGAGGAAUACCGGCGGCGAAGGCGGCCUGCUGGGAUGUUACUGACGCUGAGGUGCGAAAGCAUGGGUAGCAAACGGGAUUAGAUA